rnacentral:rRNA from 1 species
GAUGAACGCUGGCGGCGUGCCUAAUACAUGCAAGUCGAGCGAACGGACGAGAAGCUUGCUUCUCUGAUGUUAGCGGCGGACGGGUGAGUAACACGUGGAUAACCUACCUAUAAGACUGGGAUAACUUCGGGAAACCGGAGCUAAUACCGGAUAAUAUUUUGAACCGCAUGGUUCAAAAGUGAAAGACGGUCUUGCUGUCACUUAUAGAUGGAUCCGCGCUGCAUUAGCUAGUUGGUAAGGUAACGGCUUACCAAGGCAACGAUGCAUAGCCGACCUGAGAGGGUGAUCGGCCACACUGGAACUGAGACACGGUCCAGACUCCUACGGGAGGCAGCAGUAGGGAAUCUUCCGCAAUGGGCGAAAGCCUGACGGAGCAACGCCGCGUGAGUGAUGAAGGUCUUCGGAUCGUAAAACUCUGUUAUUAGGGAAGAACAUAUGUGUAUGUAACUGUGCACAUCUUGACGGUACCUAAUCAGAAGGCCACGGCUAACUACGUG